AUGGCAAACGCCAAGCUUGUAGUCAUGGCCAUCCUUGUAAUCCUGCUGCAGGUGUCGACGUGCGCCGUGGCCCGGCACCACGCCAAGCCGGACCCGUGCGCCAGCGAGGACGACUCCGUGCCGGGCAUGCUGCACAAGCACAAGCACAAGAAGCCCCACUGCCCCUCGCCGGGCGGCACCGGUGGCGGCGGCGGCCGCGGCGGCACCCCAGGCGUGAUGACGGUGAACGGCUUCGAGAAGGGCCAGGAGGGCGGCCCGCCGUCGGAGUGCGACGGCAAGUUCCACAGCAACAAGGACAUGAUCGUGGCGCUGUCGACGAGGUGGUACGCGGGCGGACGCCGGUGCGGCAAGAUGAUCAACAUCACCAGCAAGCAUAACGGGCGCACCGUGCAGGCCAAGGUGGUGGACGAGUGCGACUCCAACCACGGCUGCAAGACCAAUAUCGUGGACACCUCCGAAGCCGUGUGGAAGGCGCUCGGGCUCGACAGCAACAUCGGCGAGGUGCCCGUCACAUGGUCCGACGCCUGA
rnacentral:rRNA from 1 species